rnacentral:lncRNA from 10 species
ACUUGUCUGAGAGAAAAAACACAAGUUUACAAGGAGUUUGGCUUGGACUGGCAAUAUUGGAGCCUAAUGUUAACACCUUAGUAUUUCCCAUUAUCUGCUACAGACCCUAGGUGAUACGUUUGGCUGUGUGAGCGACUAAAGGGUGAUAGAGGCUGGGAAGGAAGACAGUGAGAAGUGGUACUUGGACAUGCUGGGCUUAUUGUGAGUUAGGUCUUGGCCUGUGCUUUAUAGGAAUCCCUUGCUUCUCAAGCUGGGGUAUCUUGCCAAUAAAUAAAAGGAGGAAGAUUAAAGGAGAGAAGAUUUAAAGAGUGUGUGAAGAGCAAUUCAAAGUCUAGCACUGUUUCUGGAAAACAAUUUCAAGUUCAAGCCCAGUGAGGCCACUGCCAUGCACAGAAGACAGACAGCACCAUCAGACUGGAGAAAGCUUUCAGUGAAGCAUGCGGCUGAUCUUUAGCGAGGAUGCAGAUUUGCAGGGGAUGAGAAAAGCAGGCUUAGAACGGAUUACAUAACUUGCUUACAGAGCCACAUUUGUAAAUGACUCCAGGAUAGUGUUAAAUGAUCGAUUUUUGGACUAUUCAAGCUUUUUAUAUCCAUUAACUCCAAUUAAUUGG